AAAGCCGAGUUUGGUUUCAAGCCAACGUGGACAACUGCUGUAUGAGGCGCUGUUUCUCAGGAGGAUCAGUGGGAAGGCGUCAGGUCAUGCAGAUGAUAGCAUCAAUUUCACAAUGCCCAGCCUUGGUGCCCUCCAUUAAGAGCAAGCCACUUGCGUUCGCCUUCAGGCAGAUGGUUGAUGUCUUCUAGGAAGCAGUUGGGAAGACUACAUUGAUGCAAGAUUCCAGCAAUGCCAUGCGCUGCAUUUAUUGGUCAAGAUGCUCAGAGAAUGGAGUCCCUGCACCUCGUGGUGAAACGUGAACAUUUUCUUUCUUUUGGAAAGCUAAACGUCAUUUGCUGUAUCAAUUGCAUUCUUGCAGCUCAGAUGUGUACUAUAUUUUUUCUAAUUUUGAAUCAAUUAAUAUUCACUUUUCAGUAUAAAAAUGACGUACAGUGUGAAGGACAAGGACUGCGAGAGAUGACAUACACUGCGCUGACUUCCAACAAUAUUUUAUUGCGUUGCCACAUCGUGUGUUUAUACACA